GCGGCGGUAGUUCAGUUGGUUAGAAUAUCGGCCUGUCACGCCGGGGGUCGCGGGUUCGAGCCCCGUCCGCCGCG
rfam:Sulfurospirillum deleyianum DSM 6946, complete genome.